AUUGAACGCUGGCGGCAUGCCUUACACAUGCAAGUCGAACGGUAACGCGGGGCAACCUGGCGACGAGUGGCGAACGGGUGAGUAGCGCAUCGGAACGUGCCCAGUAGUGGGGGAUAGCCCGGCGAAAGCCGGAUUAAUACCGCAUACGACCUACGGGUGAAAGGGGGGGAGUCGCAAGACCUCUCGCUAUUGGAGCGGCCGAUGUCAGAUUAGGUAGUUGGUGGGGUAAAGGCCUACCAAGCCGACGAUCUGUAGCUGGUCUGAGAGGACGACCAGCCACACUGGGACUGAGACACGGCCCAGACUCCUACGGGAGGCAGCAGUGGGGGAAUUUUGGACAAUGGACGCAAGUCUGAUCCAGCCAUGCCGCGUGCGGGAAGAAGGCCUCGG
rnacentral:rRNA from 1 species